AACUCAUUAUUACGAGGUUGUGUUUAAGGAAUCCUGUGAGAUUCAGGGGCUGUGCCGCAACCGUUAGAGCCGGAAAACUAGCAAUCUCUAAUUAAUCCCG
rnacentral:ncRNA from 2 species